UUUUCAAGAGAAUCAAGUUUGGUAUUGUAUUUCAACUCAUUAGUGUCAAGAUGGAAACCUGUCACAUUUGAAGAAUCUCUCUGCUUUGUGAAGAAAGUAAAGGCUCGUGAUUAUCGCAUAUAUAUUGCAUUGUUUGAAAUUCUCAGCCAGAAGGACCAGAUGCCUUCAGAAACCUACCAUGAUCUAUUGUUGCUCUUAGAGAAUCAUGAUGAUCUUCUGAAGGAAUUGAUGCGAUUCAAACCUCAUGAUUUCGAACGGAGGAUCAGCCACCACAAUUCAUCAGGAAUGUCUCUUUUUCUUGUGUCAUUGUUUAUCUUGAGUUUGAUUCUGAUGUUUGAGCAACCUUUGAGAUGUUUUAUUCAACAAACUUUGGGAACUUAAACCAACUUCCUGAGGGUUAAGGUUAUGUGCACAGUUGAUUCUCCUUGUGGAAUAAAUUUCAAUUCCUCAA